GAUGAACGCUGGCGGCGUGCCUAAUACAUGCAAGUCGAGCGAACAGACGAGGAGCUUGCUCCUCUGACGUUAGCGGCGGACGGGUGAGUAACACGUGGAUAACCUACCUAUAAGACUGGGAUAACUUCGGGAAACCGGAGCUAAUACCGGAUAAUAUAUUGAACCGCAUGGUUCAAUAGUGAAAGACGGUUUUGCUGUCACUUAUAGAUGGAUCCGCGCCGCAUUAGCUAGUUGGUAAGGUAACGGCUUACCAAGGCGACGAUGCGUAGCCGACCUGGGAGGGUGAUCGGCCACACUGGAACUGAGACACGGUCCAGACUCCUACGGGAGGCAGCAGCAGGGAAUCUUCCGCAAUGGGCGAAAGCCUGACGGAGCAACGCCGCGUGAGUGAUGAAGGUCUUCGGAUCGUAAAACUCUGUUAUUAGGGAAGAACAAAUGUGUAAGUAACUAUGCACGUCUUGACGGUACCUAAUCAGAAAGCCACGGCUAACUACGUG
rnacentral:rRNA from 1 species